UAAUGUCCUGUCCUUCUGCUCCUUAUCCAUAGGACACGAACCUGCAAGCUGAUCCAUAUGGGUGGACACAUGCAGAGCCUCACUGACUUCUAUGGGCAUCUGUACUGGUAUGAAGAAUUUGCCCACAAGGAACAAAUAGCAGGAUUAAGGCCAUAGUCAGUUCCAGUGAGAUCAGUCUCCAUGCCUGUACACACCUUGGCCUCUCUGCUGAGACUAACAAAGAUUUGAGUAUACUGGAGAAGGGAGAAAACAGCAAUUUGGAAUCAUUGACAAUUUUGUGAUGUAUCCUUGUUGAACCACACAUCCAAGACCCAUCUCUCCAAUGUAGAGAGAGAUCAUUGGUCCUUGAAUUGUAAUAGUUUCCCCUCUAGGCGUUGCUUGUCAGAACUUUCCUGACUGUAGUCAGGCAUUGUUUCUAAUAUUGGAAUUUGCAUUGCUGGAAGAUUGGUCUCUGCCCUUUCUGGGUUUAGACUUGUUCCAUUUGCUUUUGCUGUAAUCUCACCUUCUGUACAUAGAGGAGUAGCCAUGAAAAGGAUAUUUAGACCCGUAAUAAGAAUCUUUUCUAAUGGGCUCAUCUGAUGGAACAACCAAGUAUCUAAUCACCUUUCAUAACAUCUUCACAUAUGAUUCAGCUGGGA